CAUCUAAGUACCCCGAGGAAAAGAAAUCAACCGAGAUUCCCCCAGUAGCGGCGAGCGAACGGGGAGCAGCCCAGAGCCUGAAUCAGUGUGUGUGUUAGUGGAAGCGUCUGGAAAGGCGCGCGAUACAGGGUGACAGCCCCGUACACAAAAAUGCACAUACUGUGAGCUCGAUGAGUAGGGCGGGACACGUGGUAUCCUGUCUGAAUAUGGGGGGACCAUCCUCCAAGGCUAAAUACUCCUGACUGACCGAUAGUGAACCAGUACCGUGAGGGAAAGGCGAAAAGAACCCCGGCGAGGGGAGUGAAAAAGAACCUGAAACCGUGUACGUACAAGCAGUGGGAGCACGCUUAGGCGUGUGACUGCGUACCUUUUGUAUAAUGGGUCAGCGACUUAUAUUCUGUAGCAAGGUUAACCGAAUAGGGGAGCCGAAGGGAAACCGAGUCUUAACUGGGCGUUAAGUUGCAGGGUAUAGACCCGAAACCCGGUGAUCUAGCCAUGGGCAGGUUGAAGGUUGGGUAACACUAACUGGAGGACCGAACCGACUAAUGUUGAAAAAUUAGCGGAUGACUUGUGGCUGGGGGUGAAAGGCCAAUCAAACCGGGAGAUAGCUGGUUCUCCCCGAAAGCUAUUUAGGUAGCGCCUCGUGAAUUCAUCUCCGGGGGUAGAGCACUGUUUCGGCAAGGGGGUCAUCCCGACUUACCAACCCGAUGCAAACUGCGAAUACCGGAGAAUGUUAUCACGGGAGACACACGGCGGGUGCUAACGUCCGUCGUGAAGAGGGAAACAACCCAGACCGCCAGCUAAGGUCCCAAAGUCAUGGUUAAGUGGGAAACGAUGUGGGAAGGCCCAGACAGCCAGGAUGUUGGCUUAGAAGCAGCCAUCAUUUAAAGAAAGCGUAAUAGCUCACUGGUCGAGUCGGCCUGCGCGGAAGAUGUAACGGGGCUAAACCAUGCACCGAAGCUGCGGCAGCGACGCUUAUGCGUUGUUGGGUAGGGGAGCGUUCUGUAAGCCUGUGAAGGUGUGCUGUGAGGCAUGCUGGAGGUAUCAGAAGUGCGAAUGCUGACAUAAGUAACGAUAAAGCGGGUGAAAAGCCCGCUCGCCGGAAGACCAAGGGUUCCUGUCCAACGUUAAUCGGGGCAGGGUGAGUCGACCCCUAAGGCGAGGCCGAAAGGCGUAGUCGAUGGGAAACAGGUUA
rnacentral:rRNA from 1 species